AACCCUCUGGGAAAAAAGAAAAGCCCUCUCAAUUGUAGAUAGUUGAACAGCACGCUCAAAAGAGCUGUAUCUGCAAAAAAAAGUUACAUUCUUGAAGUAAUAAAUGUCCUUGUUAGGGAAAAUGUCACACUUAGUCUAUUUUUUAAUAAAUUAAACCUGCACAGGAACACCACCACUGUUGAGAUUAGCUGGAAUGGCCACUUUUUGUGCUUGUAUACCUGUGCAUUUCCUAUUGGAAAUGGCUCCUGGAAGGUUUUAGCUUCCAAAAAUCUGUCUUGGGCCACAACGAGUUUACCAGCGUAAACAGUGCUAUUCCAGUGCCUGGGGGUUUCCUAGCCAUUGUUUAGUUUGUUAAUCUAGAUAUCUAUUUACAGUUCAGUUUAAAAUUCACAGUUGAUACACCAACCCACUCAUGGCCAGGGGUUAUUCAAAGAUGACCACUGCAAACCUGCUUGCUCCUUGUGCUACUCAGCAGAAGAAAUAGUGGAAGAGUGACAGUAUCAUCCAGUAAAAUUCCAGUUUCUGGGCUUAACUGAUUCUUAAAUUUAAAAUUAAUUUAAUAAUAAUCAAGAGUCACUCUUCCACUGUUUCUUCCCCUGACUGAGUAGCACCAGCUGCUGCCAGGUCCCCUCAGCAGCCAGUGAGUGCUGUGGGGCUCUGGCUGAGCAGGAGCUGGGUAAUGAGACCCAAAGACACACCCAAAGGGCUGCACUGCAGGAACUUGGUACAGGCAAGAGGAGCAGAGAGGUGAGGGGAUUGUCUGAGAUGGUUCCCUCAGAAUGUUCCUGUGUGAGCUUUGGCAAGUGACCCUCAUUCCUGAGACUGAGCUCCUGCUCUGGAGGGCUAGACCAGUAGAAUGUCCUUAGCUUAUAUUUAUUAGUGAAGAUAAAUACAUUUAAAAGCAUGCAGUGUGUAUCCCCACAGCAGUGAAUCUACCCUGAGAGCUGUAAAUUGGCAGGAAGGCACAGGUUCUGUUUUUGUGUAAAUCUUCUCAAACCAGUAUUACUUUUCCAAGUAAUAGUAAAGAACUCUAUGUCAGCUUUCAAAUUCAGGUGACAUUUUCUACAAAUAAAGGCAAUUUCUUCAUGAAACUCA
rnacentral:lncRNA from 1 species